GUAUUUGUUGGAUGAACGUCAAAUUUAUGAAGACUGUUUGACUUUUGAUUCAGGUCUCUUUUCACUUUCUCACGUCAGAGGAUGACACUGGAAGAUCUGCAUUCUUAAAAGUGAUGAUAAACUAUACAAUGUUUUAAGAUAUAGCAACAGCAGGAAUGUGUGAGAGUUCAGCAAAUGACAGUGUUUAAAUGUGUGACUCUAUAAAAGCUGUGGCAAGAUCCACCUGCAAAUCUACAGUAUACUGUGAAAAGUUUUAGACACUUCUGAAAAAUGCUGUAAAGUUAAAAUCAAUACCACAACAUUUCUUUUUAAACAAUUAACCCAUUAAGUGGUUAUUCUUGCUUAUCAAAUGUGCUUUAUUGUUUUAAACACUUUGAUGCAUCGUACUAUGGUGGUUAAGCAGCGAGUUUCAUUGUUGUUCGAGAAAGAUGACACACUAUCCCCUUCCAAUAAACUGGUGUUUUACAAACAAGAAUUUAUACUUCUGUGUAACUGGCAAUGACUUGACAUUUCCAUAUAUUUCAUUAGCUGUCAUAAGGUGGAUUCUGCUCCUCCCAUCUCAACAAAACUCUGUGUUUCCUCAUCAGCUGCGCAGUCUUUCAAACUUCUGUCAGGAGUAAACACUUCACUUUAACACAGAGAAGAUGAGAAAGAAAGAGACAGGUCUCUUUGAAGCUAAUCUGUUUGGAUUGUGACAAAGGCAAAAAAUGAAUUACAUUAAAACCGUCAGUAAAUGAGUCUCACAGCGACUAAACAAUCUGUCAAGAUCAAAAUAAGAGAGAGGAACUAUGAGGCAGAUCUUUAGAAAGAAAAUGAAGCUUCAACUGCAUACUCAAGUCAGAAUGAAGACGUCACUGAAAUAUCUACAUUCCUGACACACUGAAAGUGAGGAUAACAUGUAUUGAGAUAAAGGAAUGUGUAAGGGUUCAGAAAAUGUUAAAUAUGUGACUAUAAGAAGUGUGGCAACAUGCAUGGAGAAAUUACAGUAUACUGUGAAAUGUUUUAGACACUUGCACUGGUUCAUGCAUGUAUUUAAUUAUUUGUUUAUUUUUACAAAUUAACCUCUGUUAACCACAUCAAAUCAGCUGAUCACCUUUUUUUAAACAGCGUUUGUUAUAGUUUUUCUUAUUUUGUGAAAAUA